GUGAGACCUACGCCUACGGUCCGUCCAAUCCCGCGCUUGGCCUGCUGCAUGCCUGGUUUCUGAGCUUGUUGGAGACAACGUGAAAAGGGCCGAAAUGGCUGAAGGUCAUGACAUGCAUGAAGUUUGUACCAGAGCAAAAAGAUUGGCCGACGGGGAUGGAGAUGAAGGAGGUGCAGGUGAACCAAAGGCAAAGUUGAGACGGAGGCAUCUGGAGGAUUCUUAUUUUUGGAUCAACUCAUACCAUUCGAGGGCUGUGCUGACCCGGUUUUUUAUAGACACCAAGGUUAAGGCUGGAAAGAA